UCAACAUCAACUCAGCUUUCGCCACGUGUAUCUCCGUUUAUCAACAACACAUUUUUUUUAACAAAGUUAACAUUAAGGACUAAAACUAAAAAGUUAACAACUUACAAAGUUUAUUUUAGAAAAAAAAAAAAAAAUACAUGUAAGAAAACAAAAAACAUGCACAUUUACGGGGACCUUCUUACAUAUUGAAGCCGGUGAGAAAUAUAUGGAUCAUAACUUGGGAAGGUUGCUUUCGUAAUUGAGCCGCAUAUGAAUUUUAAAAUUUGAAAUAUCCCGUAAUUGGUGACUGCUUGCAACCGGUUGUUGGAUUUUGCUUUCUUCUAACAGAUAACUAUUGUUGGGUUUGAUGCCGUUGCAUUCUCACAAUCCACUGAGAUUUAUAAUUUCUUGCAACUAUUGUUUUGUUUAACACCAAUGUUUUUCCUUUUAAUACUAAUAAAUUUAAAGAUUGAAAAGAAAAGCUUGUUGGGUACAUGUGAGGAGGGAACUUUCAUCUCUAAGAACACCAAGCAGGUAAUUAUGAAUCACAAUGAUGAGAGAGAUGGCCAUUUACCCACACGUGAAGG
rnacentral:lncRNA from 1 species